UGUAAACGAUGUCGAUUUGGAGUUUGUUGCCUAGAGUGAUGGGCUCCGAAGCUAACGCGAUAAAUCGACCGCUGGGGAGUACGGCCGCAAGGUUAAAACUCAAAUGAAUUGACGGGGGCCCGCACAGCGGUGGAGCAUGUGGUUUAAUUCGAUGCAACGCGAAGAACCUUACCUGGUCUUGACAUCCAUAGAAUUCUGCAGAGAUGUGGGAGUGCCUUCGGGAACUAUGAGACAGGUGCUGCAUGGCUGUCGUCAGCUCGUGUUGUGAAAUGUUGGGUUAAGUCCCGCAACGAGCGCAACCCUUAUUCUUUGUUGCCAGCGAUUUGGUCGGGAACUCAAAGGAGACUGCCGUUGAUAAAGCGGAGGAAGGUGGGGACGACGUCAAGUCAUCAUGGCCCUUACGACCAGGGCUACACACGUGCUACAAUGGCGUAUACAAAGGGAAGCGAAGGUGCGAGCUGGAGCGGAUCUCAUAAAGUACGUCUAAGUUCGGAUUGGAGUCUGCAACUCGACUCCAUGAAGUCGGAAUCGCUAGUAAUCGUAGAUCAGAAUGCUACGGUGAAUACGUUCCCGGGCCUUGUACACACCGCCCGUCACACCAUGGGAGUGGGUUGCACCAGAAGUAGAUAGCUUAACCGCGAGGGGGGCGUUUACCACGGUGUGAUUCAUGACUGGGGUGAAGUCGUAACAAGGUAACCA
rnacentral:rRNA from 1 species